AUUGAACGCUGGCGGCAGGCCUAACACAUGCAAGUCGAACGAGUGGCGGACGGGUGAGUAAUGUCUGGGAAACUGCCUGAUGGAGGGGGAUAACUACUGGAACCGGUAGCUAAUACCGCAUACCAUCAGAUGUGCCCAGAGGGGAUUAGCUAGUUGGUGGGGUAACGGCUCACCAAGGCGACGAUCCCUAGCUGGUCGGAGAGGAUGACCAGCCAAACUGGAACGGAGAACCGGUCAAGACUCCUAGGGGAGGAAGAAGUGGGGAAUAUGGGACAAUGGGCGCAAGCCUGAUGCAGCCAUGCCGCGUGUAUGAAGAAGGCCUUCGGGUUGUAAAGUACUUUCAGCGGGGAGGCGGUACCCGCAGAAGAAGCACCGGCUAACUCCGUGCCAGCCGCCGCGGUAAUAC
rnacentral:rRNA from 1 species